CAUAUGGUGCUAAGUGGUGAGAGCAUGUGUGAAGAAGUAUACCCCUGCAGGGUGAUUUAAUCUGUUCGAAUAGCCGCAUCCUCGGAUAUGGACUACUUGGAAACAUUACGUAGUACAUAGACAACUUAAAUGGAUACUCUAAAACAUGCAAGAUAAGUGUGAGUGCUAUGGAAGGCUUUCUCGUAGGGAGACGAGAGUGGAUCCAUAAUGGUGUAUUACACUGGUGAAUAUGUGGACUCGUGUGCGCUAUCCCACCUCAAAGAAAGAACUUGUAGUCGUAGUACAUGUUAGCCAAGAGUCAAAGCUGGCUUGCUGCAAUCAAACCCCACAAUCCUUUCAUUGAACAUGAUGCAUAUGUAGAUAGUUCUGAUGUAAGACUUGCUGAGUACCUAUGUACUUACGGUUGCUUUAUUUAUGUUUUUACAGAGAAUAUUUAGUCUCAUUAAAGGUUUCUACGCGAUGUGUACGAUGUUGACCGGAAUAACUUGGGAAUCCCAGACAGAGGUCUGGCUCCUUUGGUAGGGUCGUAGUAGCUUUUCAGGCUCUUCCAGCCACUUUUAGUAGAUGUGUGUACCCAGACAUGAUUUGCUUCCGCUUGUUGUUUGUAUGACUUGAGUGUCGGGUCACGAGACCCUGUUUGUAAUAUCACACUAUGUUGAUUCUUAUGAGUCCUUAAUAAAAGCUUGAGUCAUAGAGUUAUGUUGUGAUGCCAUGUUGUAUCUACACAUAUCGUGCAUAUUGUGUGUAUGUUAUGAAAUGCAUUGUAUG
rnacentral:lncRNA from 1 species